rnacentral:rRNA from 1 species
UACGAAGGGGGCUAGCGUUGUUCGGAAUUACUGGGCGUAAAGCGUGCGCAGGCGGCCAUCCAAGUCAGUGGUGAAAGCCCGGAGCUCAACUCCGGAAUUGCCAUUGAAACUGUUUGGCUCGAGUACGAGAGAGGUGAGUGGAAUUCCCAGUGUAGAGGUGAAAUUCGUAGAUAUUGGGAAGAACACCGAUGGCGAAGGCAGCCCCCUGGGCUAGCACUGACGCUCAGGCACGAAAGCGUGGG